GACGAACGCUGGCGGCGUGCUUAACACAUGCAAGUCGAACGGAAAGGCCCUGCUUUUGUGGGGUGCUCGAGUGGCGAACGGGUGAGUAACACGUGAGUAACCUGCCCUUGACUUUGGGAUAACUUCAGGAAACUGGGGCUAAUACCGGCUAGGAGCUCCUGCUGCAUGGUGGGGGUUGGAAAGUUUCGGCGGUUGGGGAUGGACUCGCGGCUUAUCAGCUUGUUGGUGGGGUAGUGGCUUACCAAGGCUUUGACGGGUAGCCGGCCUGAGAGGGUGACCGGCCACAUUGGGACUGAGAUACGGCCCAGACUCCUACGGGAGGCAGCAGUGGGGAGUAUUGCACAGUGGGCGGAAGCCUGAUGCAGCAACGCCGCGUGCGGGAUGACGGCCUUCGUGUUGUAAACCGCUGUCGCCUGUGACGAAGCGUGAGUGACGGUAAUGGGUAAAGAAGCACCGGCUAACUACGUG
rnacentral:rRNA from 1 species